UGGGAACGCGAAGAACCUUACCUAGACUUGACAUCUCCUGAAUUACCCUUAAUCGGGGAAGCCCUUCGGGGCAGGAAGACAGGUGGUGCAUGGUUGUCGUCAGCCCGUGUCGUGAGAUGUUGGGUUAAGUCCCGCAACGAGCGCAACCCUUAUUGUUAGUUGCUACCAUUUAGUUGAGCACUCUAGCGAGACUGCCCGGGUUAACCGGGAGGAAGGUGGGGAUGACGUCAAAUCGUCAUGCCCCUUAUGUCUAGGGCUACACACGUGCUACAAUGGCUGGUACAGAGAGAUGCUAAACCGCGAGGUGGAGCCAAACUUUAAAACCAGUCUCAGUUCGGAUUGUAGGCUGAAACUCGCCUACAUGAAGCUGGAGUUGCUAGUAAUCGCGAAUCAGAAUGUCGCGGUGAAUACGUUCCCGGGUCUUGUACACACCG
rnacentral:rRNA from 1 species